GUGACGUCAUCUAUUGAUGUUGUUGUAUUUCAUUGUUUAUUUUUCUGCAAAAUGCUGAAAAGUCCUGUGUGCGAUUAAUACUUUAUACAGUUCACUACUGACCCCCUGCCAAUCCAUAGAGGGUUCUUAAAUUCCAAAGGGGGACUCGGUCUCUUGCAUCACAGAUCAAUAGGGGGUCAUUAGCAAAACAUAUAACUUAUAGUUGUAAAUUGUAUGCUGAAACUUUACCUAUCAUAUAAAUUUUUCAUCAGAUCUUUAAUUAACCAAGACUGUGCCGAGUAGGUAACAAUGGCAACGUAAAUCCCCUUUUCAAGGCAAGCAGGAAUCAAAUCUUUCAUGCAUGGUCGGACCUCUUUGACUAGAUUUUCAAUUGUUUCUUUCCAUCGACCACCAGAGUGAAUAGAUAUCAAUGUCUGAUCGAAAUCCAUCGCCAGAAGACGAAUGCCCUGUUUGUGCAUGGCGUUGACCAGUGCUUUGACCUUGCUUGCGUCUGUUACUUUGUCAGCUGACAUGGUAUGCGAAUUAAAUGUUCACCAAUCUGUUAUCUUACUUAAAUAUUAACAAUAUUCUGAAAGUAUCAACAUUUUGCGCAUAUAUUUCUGGUCAUGUUAUGAUUUUUUUUUCUCUCAGAUUUUCUUAACCGGAA
rnacentral:lncRNA from 1 species